AAGACAAAUCUAAUAAUAUGCUGUUUUCCUUUUUGUAGAAUGUAAAAACAAUAUGAGGCAUACAUUCCCACCUGAUAAUUACAACAGUGCCAGUAGAUCCAAGCUAAUAAUACAAAUAAUAAACAAUAAUAAACUCACAGUGCUAUCCGGUUGUUCAGUGAUGACGUGAUGAAUCCUACUUCCGGGUCUAAAGUAGUCUGCGUUUAAUAUGGCUUUUGUGUUGUUAACAUGUUUAAUGUUUUGUAUUUUCUUCUAUUUGAUCUCAAAAAGCUCCUAAAACAGUCAGUGAUCACUGUUGACCUCCCUUUAUUACCGCUAAUCAUUUAUUUAAGCUCAGUUUUUAAAACCUUAGGAUGUAGCUACAGCCCAGCCCAUGCAGCAGUAUAUGAAUGACUAACCUCGUAUUGUGGAUGGAUUAUCUCAGUUGUUCUCCUGGCUGAAGUUUGGUCCUUUUACAGCAUCCUGCCAUGCGAUUACAUUUGUUCCUGACCACCGAGAACACUCACGUUAACUUUUAUCCAGUGGAAAAAAAGUUAGCUUGUUUAUAUUAUGCUAACAUAGCUGUGUCGCUAGCGGUCACGUAGCACAUCAUUAUAUACCAGCUAGCCCAACUUCAGUAACCCUACAAACGUCACUGCUGUUUAGUUUUCUGUCUUCAUUUAUGCUGGAAGUGAUAACAGAGCUGUACGUUUGAAUUUGUUUCCAAAACCCCGCAGUCAGGACAUGCUAUAUUGUAUUUAGAUAGAAGCUAGCGAGCUAACUCCCUGCUAACUUCUAACUCCGUUAAAUGUCAUAAAUUCCGUUUUCAUGGAUGCCUGGAUGUUAAACUCAAUUGUUACACCUGGUAGAGCAGAACGCUGAUCAUUUUAUUAAAGAUGAAAGACUUUAGACAGUUUUUCAACUCUCAGUAAUGCCACAGUGAUCGUUUGAUAUAUGGACCUGCAGCGGAGUUUAGGCCCAGACACGGCUAGUGACGUCAGACUGAACAACCGGAUAGAAGUUCAGUUCCUUAUUAGUAAGUUAUUCAAAUUAAAAGAGGGUUUUUACACAGAGGCAUUCUGUCAGGACACCAAGGAGAGCAGUGUGUUUCUAGUGAAAUCGUAAAACAAUCCACUUUCACCUCAAACUGCUCCAUAAAGCUACUUGCCUGUUUGAGAUUACAGCCAUCUUGUGGUUGCAGUUAGUUAUCGUUGCGUAUAGCUCUGGUCUCCGUGGAUCCUGCUGCAUAAUGUCUCCAUUUCCGAUGUGUAUCCAUGUCCUGUUAGCUUGAGCUAAUGAAGAUGACAAGCCAGCAGCUUUUUCCUGGUUGUUUGCGCGUGCACAUUAAGAAAGAACCUAUGGACUGAUAUUAAACUGAUGGGAGACCAGCUGGCUCUACCUUCACUGCUCUGAGAUCAUUUUGUCCUAACGAUGAAAGGGGUGGAAAAACAUUUUUAUGUUGAAGAAAUAAAAAUGAUCCAAGGUUUCUGAUCACUGCAAAGGUUAAUUCACUGAAGUGCAUCAGAUUCAUGUCAAUUUGUACAAUUCAGCCUGUUCAUGCCACUCUAUAAAGACAAGCUAAAGCUUUGUGGCGCACGUUGUCUUGCUGUCUAUCUUGGCUCCACAUACGCUAUAGCUCUUAGUUUUGUUGCUAUUGGAUUUAGACCAGGAAACAUCUGGGAUGAAAGUCCAAAAUAAGAAUUA
ensembl:lncRNA